CUUUUUGUUUUGGAAUGUUAUUCUUUUUCUUUAUAGAUACAGAUCCAUUUAGAUUGUCUGUUUCUUCUUGUGUGAGUUUUGGCAGUGAUAUGGUUUGGCUGUGUCCCCACCCAAAUCUCAUCUUGAAUUCCCACAUGUUGUGGGAGGCACCCGGUGGGAGGUAAUUGAAUCAUGGGGCAAGUCUUCCCCAUCCUGUUAUUGUGAUAGUCAAUAAGUCUCACUAGUUUUGACUGUCGAGGCCACCCCAGCCACGUGGAACUGUGAGUCCAAUUAAACCCUUUUCUUUUGUAAAUUGCCCACUUUUGGGUAUGUCUUUAUAAGCAGUAUAUCUCCUAAUGCUAUUCCUCCCCCUCACCCCACCCCACAACAGGCCCCGGUGUGUGAUGUGAAGUGGAGCCUUUAAGAGACGAGUGGCCUUGAGGGCUCUGCCCUCUUGAAUGGAUUAAUUCAUUAAUAGAUUGAGGGAUUAAUGGGUUAAUAGAUUAAUAGGUUAUGUGAGUGGGACUGGUGGCUUUGUUUUGUUAUGAAAGAGUCAGGGUCUUGUGCUUGGUCACCCAGGCUGGAGUG
rnacentral:lncRNA from 1 species